GAUGAACGCUGGCGGCGUGCCUAAUACAUGCAAGUCGAGCGAACGGACGAGAAGCUUGCUUCUCUGAUGUUAGCGGCGGACGGGUGAGUAACACGUGGAUAACCUACCUAUAAGACUGGGAUAACUUCGGGAAACCGUAGCUAAUACCGGAUAAUAUUUUGAACCGCAUGGUUCAAAAGUGAAAGACGGUCUUGCUGUCACUUAUAGAUGGAUCCGCGCUGCAUUAGCUAGUUGGUAAGGUAACAGCUUACCAAGGCAACGAUGCAUAGCCGACCUGAGAGGGUGAUCGGCCACACUGGAACUGAGACACGGUCCAGACUCCUACGGGAGGCAGCAGUAGGGAAUCUUCCGCAAAGGGCGAAAGCCUGACGGAGCAACGCCGCGUGAGUGAUGAAGGUCUUCGGAUCGUAAAACUCUGUUAUUAGGGAAGAACAUAUGUGUAAGUAACUGUGCACAUCUUGACGGUACCUAAUCAGAAAGCCACGGCUAACUACGUG
rnacentral:rRNA from 1 species